UACGUAGGGGGCAAGCGUUGUCCGGAUUUAUUGGGCGUAAAGCGCGUGUAGGCGGCCACGCAGGUCCGCUGUGAAAACUCGAGGCUCAACCUCGAGCUGUCGGUGGAAACCGCGUGGCUAGAGUCCGGAAGAGGAGACUGGAAUUCCCGGUGUAGCGGUGGAAUGCGCAGAUAUCGGGAGGAACACCCGUGGCGAAGGCGGGUCUACUGGGACGGUACUGACGCUGAGACGCGAAAGCGUGGGGAGCGAACAGG
rnacentral:rRNA from 1 species